UCUAAUCGGGCAAUCACCGCUGAAGGCGC
rnacentral:sRNA from 1 species